GGCAAGUCUUGGUUCCAGGUUGGGAAGGCCAGGGAAAUUUUCAAGAAAUAUCUGAAAUCCACAGGACUGAGGCUCCAUCAGCUUUUCUGAUUAAACUCUAGGAGGAUUAACUAGGAUAGCAAGAUAAGAAAACAAAUCCAAAGAAAGCACACUUUACAGAAGAUUUAAAGCCUUCCACAAAUCUGCACUUGUCAAGCCCAUCUCCAACAACUCCUGCAGCAUAAAAAUCUCGGGAAGACGAUUUGGUGUCGCAGAGCUCUUCUACGCUUCGUACUCAAUGACCUUCAGGUCCUCGAGGAGCUCCUUGGCGAGUGCCUGCAGCUCG